GUAGUCAUAUGCUUGUCUCAAAGAUUAAGCCAUGCAUGUCUAAGUAUAAGCAAUUAUACCGUGAAACUGCGAAUGGCUCAUUAAAUCAGUUAUCGUUUAUUUGAUAGUACCUUACUACUUGGAUAACCGUGGUAAUUCUAGAGCUAAUACAUGCUGAAAACCCCAACUUCGGGAGGGGUGUAUUUAUUAGAUAAAAAACCAACGCCCUUCGGGGCUUCUUGGUGAUUCAUGAUAACUUUACGGAUCGCAUGGCCUUGCGCCGGCGACGGUUCAUUCAAAUUUCUGCCCUAUCAACUUUCGAUGGUAAGGUAUUGGCUUACCAUGGUUUCAACGGGUAACGGGGAAU
rnacentral:rRNA from 1 species